AAAGAAAAAANAUAAAAAAGCUUCUAACUUUUUACAAAGCAAUAAAUUGU
rnacentral:tRNA from 1 species